rnacentral:misc_RNA from 1 species
UAAACAAUGUAGACAUCAUUGAAGUUCUCUUUCUGGGGAGGUCGUAUGAUGUCUCUAAGAGCAACAAUAUUUUCAUGGUCCAUGUGUCGAAGAAGCUUAAUCUCUCGCAAUGUCCUUUUAGCAUCUAUCCGGUUGUCAAAAGCAUUACCAAUUUUCUUAAUGGCAACUUCUUCUCGGGUCUCAGAAUUCACAGCAGCACAAACAAU